AGAGUUUGAUCAUGGCUCAGAUUGAACGCUGGCGGAAUGCUUUACACAUGCAAGUCGAACGGCAGCACGGACUUCGGUCUGGUGGCGAGUGGCGAACGGGUGAGUAACAUAUCGGAACGUAUCCAAUAAUGGGGGAUAACUAAUCGAAAGGUUGGCUAAUACCGCAUACGCCCUACGGGGGAAAGCUAGGGACCUUCGGGCCUGGCGUUAAUGGAGCGGCCGAUAUCUGAUUAGCUAGUUGGUGGGGUAAAGGCCCACCAAGGCGACGAUCAGUAGCUGGUCUGAGAGGACGACCAGCCACACUGGAACUGAGACACGGUCCAGACUCCUACGGGAGGCAGCAGUGGGGAAUUUUGGACAAUGGGCGCAAGCCUGAUCCAGCCAUUCCGCGUGAGUGAAGAAGGCCUUCGGGUUGUAAGGCUCUUUCGCAAGGGAAGAAAACUUACCCUCUAACAUAGGGUGAGGUUGACGGUACCUUGAUAAGAAGCACCGGCUAACUACGUGCCAGCAGCCGCGGUAAUACGUAGGGUGCGAGCGUUAAUCGGAAUUACUGGGCGUAAAGCGUGCGCAGGCGGUUUUGAAAGUCAGAUGUGAAAUCCCCGAGCUCAACUUGGGAACUGCGUUUGAAACUCCAAAACUCGAAUAUGUCAGAGGGGGGUAGAAUUCCACGUGUAGCAGUGAAAUGCGUAGAGAUGUGGAGGAAUACCAAUGGCGAAGGCAGCCCCCUGGGAUAAUAUUGACGCUCAUGCACGAAAGCGUGGGGAGCAAACAGGAUUAGAUACCCUGGUAGUCCACGCCCUAAACGAUGUCUACUAGUUGUUGGUGGAGUAAAAUCCAUGAGUAACGCAGCUAACGCGUGAAGUAGACCGCCUGGGGAGUACGGUCGCAAGAUUAAAACUCAAAUGAAUUGACGGGGGCCCGCACAAGCGGUGGAUUAUGUGGAUUAAUUCGAUGCAACGCGA
rnacentral:rRNA from 1 species